rnacentral:rRNA from 1 species
GACGAACGCUGGCGGCGUGCUUAACACAUGCGAGUCGAACGGAAAGGCCCUGCUUUUGUGGGGUGCUCGAGUGGCGAACGGGUGAGUAACACGUGAGUAACCUGCCCUUGACUUUGGGAUAACUUCAGGAAACUGGGGCUAAUACCGGAUAGGAGCUCCUGCUGCAUGGUGGGGGUUGGAAAGUUUCGGCGGUUGGGGAUGGACUCGCGGCUUAUCAGCUUGUUGGUGGGGUAGUGGCUUACCAAGGCUUUGACGGGUAGCCGGCCUGAGAGGGUGACCGGCCACAUUGGGACUGAGAUACGGCCCAGACUCCUACGGGAGGCAGCAGUGGGGAAUAUUGCACGAUGGGCGGAAGCCUGAUGCAGCAACGCCGCGUGCGGGAUGACGGCCUUCGGGUUGUAAACCGCUUUCGCCUGUGACGAAGCGGGAGUGACGGUAAUGGGUAAAGAAGCACCGGCUAACUACGUG